CAGUAGCCGCGGGAAUACGUAGGUGGCAAGCGUUGUCCGGAAUUAUUGGGCGUAAAGCGCGCGCAGGUGGUUUAAUAAGUCUGAUGUGAAAGCCCACGGCUCAACCGUGGAGGGUCAUUGGAAACUGUUAAACUUGAGUGCAGGAGAGAAAAGUGGAAUUCCUAGUGUAGCGGUGAAAUGCGUAGAGAUUAGGAGGAACACCAGUGGCGAAGGCGGCUUUUUGGCCUGUAACUGACACUGAGGCGCGAAAGCGUGGGGAGCAAGCAGGAUUAGAUACCCCGGUAGUCCCUGUCUCUUAUAC
rnacentral:rRNA from 1 species